GAAGUGCGAACCAAGCAGGCGCAAGAGAGCGCUGUGAGACUUGGAGCUGGCCUUGGUAACGAGGUCAUGCA
rnacentral:sRNA from 12 species